AGAAAGAGAAGGAGCAAAGAGAAACCCAAGCAGAUGCUACUAUUGAUUGAUUAUUUUUAAUUUACUGAUUGCCGAAUUUAUCCUUCUGAGUCAGAGUCACCUAGGCAAGACCAGCUGACUCCAGACACUUGAGCAAAAAAUGCCUGCCGCUGGAUGCCCUGAGGAUCUGAAGUUCUUUGUUACACAGCAUUACUAUGGCAAUAGGCGCUGUAUCAUGUCACAUUAAGAAAAGCCACACUAUUGAGAGUUCAAAGCCAUUGUGUCCCUGUGAAGAAAGGCCCAGAGUGCCAUCUAUCUGCGCUCUAGAGCCUACCAACUCACAGAGCUUAAAGUUCUGAGCUGGAAACAUGAGAAUUAAGAAGCCAGUGCUCAAAAUGACCAUGAGCUGCAUUUGACAGACAAUUUUCCAUCCUCCAUCAACACAUUGGAUUUCUUCGUAAUCGCCACCAACACUACCAGUUUUGCUUUCUGACCCUGCCUACCUCCUGGCUGGACAAAACAUCCCAAUUUCGAGCUUAAAAUGGAAACAAGAACUGAGGACUUUUUAAAAAUAGCUUUUUAAUGUAUAGGUGUCCUCUGGAGGUUCCAAGUAUAUUUCAAGAUAGAAACUGAUAAAUGAUGAUAACAACAGGGAGAGACUGCUGAUUCAUGGGAGGAAUUGAACUUCCCUUGGCCCUUGUGCUGGCCCCCAGCCAGCUGUGGAACAGAUGAGGCCAGUCAUUGUUUUAGAAAUAACAAUCUACUGAAAUGUGUAGGUAAUUCGUCCAUCUCUCCGAAGAGAGGGAAACAAUUCAACAAGAGAGGUAAACAGCCAUCAUACAGCAAUAUCCGUUUUAAAAACAAUCCCUUACUAUUUUGGGCAGCCUUGGAAAGUCCCCCAGUGCCACCUGGUUUAAUCAAAGCAUGACAUUUUCCACCUUUCAUAAGAAUAGAUGGGACUUAAUCCUGGACCCAUCAUGCCUCAGUCGUGUGGGCACAGCCCCUAUGUCCCUUGUGUAAAGACAGAAUGCACACCAUCUCUAAAUGUCCUGCUAAAGCUUUUAUCCCCUCCUCCUAAUAACUAUGCACCAUUUAUUUUUUUAAUGAUGAAAUUCCACCUGUUUGCAUUUGUGGACAUGUACGUCCCAUGGAUAGAUUAGAAAAAGAUCACUAGCAUGACACCGGAGAGCUCAAGUGGAAAUCAGCACAGGUUAUGCCUUCUGUCCUAUGAAAGAAUUCAAGGAGUCAGAAUCACCCUCUGCUUGCUGAAAGGUGCACCUGUUGGAACUUGUGAAAUUUGGACAUGAAACUUGGGUACCACUCUUUCUCCUUCACCCCCAGUCUCUGAGGAAGCAGACCGUGUCUGGAACUCAGGGAUGUAUGUAUGACGAAGAGUCCAAGCUUUGGCAUAGAGCUGCCUGCCACCCAGGCUGCGUGUUGGCAAGGUGAGAAAGGGGAGGAGGUUGGUAUCCUCUCUGACAUUACAUUUUCCAGAGAAUGAAGCUCUUUGAUCAGUUUCUGUCCCUGCAAGUUCCGAAUUUUCCAUCUCAUCCUAAUCAAAAGAAUCAGAGAAUGAUUUAUCAGAGGUAACUUUCUUAAUUGGAGGAGAGCCUAAAACAACUGUCUUGCUUUUUUUCCCCCUGGGGGAUGGGUAAAGGUGGAAUUAAUUGGUCUUCUCCUCAGGAAGGUGCCAGACACAGAAAGAUAUUUCCUAACUCCAGCUCAUAGGUCUUUCCUCUCCUCUCUGGUCUAAAAGGGAAAUUCCAUUUGUCACGUUUCUUCCUUGACACAGCAAAGCAAAGACUGUUACUGCGGGCAUUAAUGUAACUUUCAACAAUGGAAUAAACUGUGAGCCUCAAACAUGAAACUGUGGAAGCGAUUAAGAACUAGGAUGGAAAAUUUCUGCCAGCCAGAGAAUUAGGGACUUACCGUCUCUAGAGCAGGCUGUGUUUUAAAGUCUCAUUUUGAAGCUGAAAUCUGUCAUUUACGUUAAAAAGCAAAGGGUGAGGGUGGGGAGGAAGAAGUUCCAAAUAUGUCACCUGUGGAAGGACCACCUUGCUUGCUCAUUUCCCUGUCAUUUGGGAGAGCUAUUAUAGGCUCUUCUAUGAGACAUUUAAAACCUCUUUAAUACGGGCUUCCCUGGUGGCACAGUGGUUGAGAAUCCGCCUGCCAAUGCAGGGGACAUCGGUUC